UAGGGAAUCUUCCACAAUGGACGCAAGUCUGAUGGAGCAACGCCGCGUGAGUGAAGAAGGUUUUCGGAUCGUAAAGCUCUGUUGUUGGUGUAGAAGGAUAGAGGCAGUAACUGGUCUUCAUUUGACGGUAAUCAACCAGAAAGUCACGGCUAACUACGUGCCAGCAGCCGCGGUAACACGUAGGUGGCAAGCGUUGUCCUGAUUUAGUGGGCGUUAAGCGAGCGAAGGCGGAAUGAUAAGUCUGAUGUGAAAGCCCACGGCUCAACCGUGGAACUGCAUCGGAAACUGUCAUUCUUGAGUGCAGAAGAGGAGAGUGGAAUUCCAUGUGUAGCGGUGGAAUGCGUAGAUAUAUGGAAGAACACCAGUGGCGAAGGCGACUCUCUGGUCUGCAACUGACGCUGAGGCUCGAAAGCAUGGGUAGCGAAAAGG
rnacentral:rRNA from 1 species